GGGAAGGUUUGAGAAAGAGAGACAGAAUCCCACGGGCUCCUGUGAACAGGGCCACCUCUGACUCACCCUCUUCACUGCAGCUCGCCACAGAGCUGGCCCAGAUUCAAGGGCGGGUGAACAGACCCUGCUUCUUGAUGGGAGGGGCCGGCAAGCCCCCAUCGCAGAAGACGCGGACCCGGGGACCGAAUUUGCCGUAAAUCGAACACCACUUGUGAUACCCACGAUAUUCAGUAAGGUACAAUUCCCAACCACAAAGUACCCGGCAACGAAGCAAUUGGAAAAGUCGUUUGGAGUUGGCUGUUUUGGGACCUGCUACUUGCGAAUGUCAGAACGAUUUCAAGACUGGCUUCUCGGAGAUGGGGCCUGGGAACGGCAUGUGGAGGAUCUGGAAGAGGGGCAGCUCAAAAUAGAGACACCUUUGGUGACUGGAGCUUUAGGAAGAGAGAAGGCCGGAGAGGCAACAGGAAUGGAUGUGAAGAUACUACAGGCCAAACAGCCGGGGCCUCACUGGAGGAACAUGCCUCUUCACUUAGACUGGUCAGGCACAAAUUCAGUGCAGCACGGGCAGUGGCCUCUGUCGAAGGUGACAGUCUGGCCGCGAUACGUCCGAAGUGCCCCCCUGCCAGCUCUAGACAAGGAACCGUGUCCAGAGAAGGCCUGGCCGCUGGUCGGGUCUCAGUUAAGUGCAUAUUAGACAAAUGCACGGCGGGUUGCAGCCGAGACUUCAUGGCAAGUAUUGCCCCAGAUGCUGUUGGUGACGGCCUCUCCCCCAUCCCUUGGCUCCUACAUUUCUGUGCAGCCGGUAGACUCCCAACGGCGACCAUCUGUAUCUCCUUGCCUACGCUGCCCACACGCUGGGUGGGCUGGAAGUGCCGGGGAGGUGCCCUCCCCGCUCAGGCAACCCCCUUAGCCCUGACUGAGGGGAGCUGGUGGAUAAAUGCCCAGGUCCCUCCCCGCAGCACGGGACGCGAGAUAACCCCCGGUCAUGAUCCCAGAUGGCGUCCAGAGUCCCCAGAGCACUGAGCCACAGUAGGAACUUAUUUGACAACAGACCCCUUCCUGGCUUUCUGCCUGUCUCUCUCACCGCCCCCUCCCAUACCUGUGUGUCCUGUUGUCACCGCCCCCUCCACCCCCCCACCCCCCCGGGCACUGGAAUGUAUGUCUCUGAUUCUACUUCUGGGGGAAUCUCCACACACUUCCAAGAGGUGUGGAGCCCCUCGCCAUUCCGGAGCCUGAAGUGCAGCCUCCAAGAUAACAGUGCUGGGCAGUGAAUCCCGGGGGCAGGAGAUGCAUAGACCAGAGGGCCAAGCCCCCCUGACACUGGCUUUCUUUUCCCUCCCGAGCGCCUUCUUAGGGAUUGUCCUCACUUGCUGUUAACCAGACACUGUGUGCCUUUUAGCACAGAGACGGCACAAGGAAAGCGCGUAUUUCUAUUUAGAUCCUCACUAGCAAUAAUUUAGUGUGACAGAAUAGGUCAUCCGUCCUUAGUGACAGGAGAGCCGGGAAGCUGUCCAUCCUAUUCUGUUUUUUCAUUACAUUUUUUUCAAUGUUUACUUUUGAGACAGAGCAU